rnacentral:rRNA from 1 species
GAUGAACGCUGGCGGCGUGCUUAACACAUGCAAGUCGAACGGAGAUUUACCACCUGCUUGCAGGAGGUAAAUCUUAGUGGCGGACGGGUGAGUAACGCGUGGGUAACCUGCCUCACACAGGGGGAUAACAGUUGGAAACGACUGUUAAUACCGCAUAAGCGCACGGUAUCGCAUGAUACAGUGUGAAAAACUCCGGUGGUGUGAGAUGGACCCGCGUCUGAUUAGCUAGUUGGUGAGGUAACGGCCCACCAAGGCGACGAUCAGUAGCCGGCCUGAGAGGGUAAACGGCCACAUUGGGACUGAGACACGGCCCAAACUCCUACGGGAGGCAGCAGUGGGGAAUAUUGCACAAUGGGGGAAACCCUGAUGCAGCGACGCCGCGUGAGUGAUGAAGUAUUUCGGUACGUAAAACUCUAUCAGCAGCGAAGAAAAUGAC